UCCUUUGAUAGCUCAGUUGGUAAAGCGGAGGACUAUAGAUGUUUAAGCAGCUGUAUCCUUAGGUCGCUGGUUCAAAUCCGGGUCGAGGAA